rnacentral:rRNA from 1 species
UCAGGAUGAACGCUGGCGGCGUGCUUAACACAUGCAAGUCGAACGAUGAUGCCCACUUGUGGGUGGAUUAGUGGCGAACGGGUGAGUAACACGUGAGUAACCUGCCCUUGACUCUGGGAUAAGCCUGGGAAACUGGGUCUAAUACCGGAUAUGACCUUCCAUCGCAUGGUGGUUGGUGGAAAGCUUUUGUGGUUUUGGAUGGACUCGCGGCCUAUCAGCUUGUUGGUGGGGUAAUGGCCUACCAAGGCGACGACGGGUAGCCGGCCUGAGAGGGUGACCGGCCACACUGGGACUGAGACACGGCCCAGACUCCUACGGGAGGCAGCAGUGGGGAAUAUUGCACAAUGGGCGCAAGCCUGAUGCAGCGACGCCGCGUGAGGGAUGACGGCCUUCGGGUUGUAAACCUCUUUCAGUAGGGAAGAAGCGUAAGUGACGGUACCUGCAGAAGAAGCGCCGGCUAACUACGUGCCAGCAGCCGCGGUAAUACGUAGGGCGCAAGCGUUAUCCGGAAUUAUUGGGCGUAAAGAGCUCGUAGGCGGUUUGUCGCGUCUGCCGUGAAAGUCCGGGGCUCAACUCCGGAUCUGCGGUGGGUACGGGCAGACUAGAGUGAUGUAGGGGAGACUGGAAUUCCUGGUGUAGCGGUGAAAUGCGCAGAUAUCAGGAGGAACACCGAUGGCGAAGGCAGGUCUCUGGGCAUUAACUGACGCU